rnacentral:rRNA from 1 species
CUAUGGUCUAACGAGCUGUCCGGCCUGAUCCUGCCAAUGCUGUCCAACACCCCCAUUCUCGAGUGGGUCGACUUCGAGUCCAACUACCUCGCCGGUGAGCUGCCAUCGCAGGUGUUCGACAGGUUGCCGCGGCUCCAGUACCUCUACCUAUCCUACAACAACCUCUCUAGCCACAAUGGCAACACCAACCUGGAUCCCUUUUUCCACUCCCUCAGAAACUGCACUCGCCUGCAGGAGCUCAAGCUCGCUGGGAACGGCCUCGGCGGCAAACUGCCAUCGUUCAUCGGCGAGCUCUCACGCAGCUUCCGGCAGAUCCACCUCGAGGACAACGCCAUCUCAGGCUCCAUCCCUCCCAACAUCUCCGGCCUCGCCAACCUCACGUACCUAAACCUCUCCAAUAACCUCAUCAACGGCUCCAUCCCGCCGGACUUAUCACGCAUGCGGUGGCUCGAGCAGUUGUACCUCUCCAACAACCUCCUCUCCUGCGGGAUCCCCCGGUCCAUCGGUAAGCUCCCGCACCUCGGCCUCCUCGACCUCUCCGGCAAUCGCCUCACUGGCGCCAUCCCAGACACGUUCUCCAACCUCACGCAGCUCAGGAGGCUGAUGCUCCACCACAACCGCCUUGCCGGUGCCAUUCCACCGAGCCUCGGCGAGUGCGACAACCUAGAAAUCCUCGACCUCUCCUACAAUGGCCUCCAAGGCGAGAUC